UUGUGGUAAGUAGUGAAAUACAAAUCGGACUAGGAUAUAGCUGGUUUUCUGCGAAAAUUGUUUUGGCAAAUUGUUUAUUCCUCUAAAAAAAAUAGUAGGUAUAGCACUGAAUAUCUCGAGGGAGUAUGAAAAUAUUUAUCUCAGAUAUUUAAUCUCAAAAUAACUAUUUCUUAAAAUAAAUAAUCAGACUAUGUGCGAUAAGGUAGAUAGUCGAAAGGGAAACAGCCCAGAACAGUAAUUAAAGCUCCCCAAUUAAUAUUAAGUGAAAUAAAAGUUGUUGGAUAUCUAAAACAGUUA
rnacentral:rRNA from 1 species